AACAUUUAUAUCACCAACUAAUUCUAUAUUUGGGGUUUCCUGAAUAGCAGUGUCUAUAGAAUUCUGUAGAUGAUUCCAAAAGGAUUGUGUGAUGUUAGGAGGCCUAUACAGAGUACACAGAAGAUAUUUUUUAUAUGGAAAAUUGAUCUCCGUCCAAAUAACCUCACCCACCUGACAUUCUAAGUCAGCUCUACGACGGGUGCACAAGAGACUGGAUGUAAAUACUGCUAUCCCCCCUCCCGGGGUUCCCCGGUCCUUGCGGUAUAACUCGUAACCACCCAGGAGUAUAUCAGCGUCAGAAAUAGAAGGACCAAGAUAUUGCCCAAUUACUUGUAAGGUCUGGAGCUGUCUCAAUUUUACUAGCAAGCCUGGUGUACACAAAUAAUGAGAGCAUUGGCUUAUGGAUGAUUCUGCCUAAUAUAUGACAUCAAAGGUACAUCAGCUUUAGGACUUUAUUUAUAUGGAUAUGUGUGGUGUGACCAAUACUAGAAGAUAAAUGCCAUCCCCUGCCACCAGAGACAGCAGAUUUAGGCAUCUUUUCCCUAUAUUC